rnacentral:misc_RNA from 1 species
GCAGGAUUUGAGAUGAUGAGGAAGCUUUUCAUAACUAGAUCUGAAAGCCGCUAAAGAAGAAGUCUUACCUUUAUCUUUGUCUUGUUCAAUUCUGCAGCUUGGAAUAACAUGAGUUUGAGUUGUUCCACCGGGCAUCUCACCAUAAAACUCUUCAAUUGUACCAUCGGAACUACGAUUGUAGAAAAAGAAAGGCAUGAUGGGCUAUUAUCAGAUCAAAAUGAAGAACAAGUGUUGUAAGAUGAGAGAGUAAGGAUGAUCAUAUCAAGCCUCGUCUUGAGGUAGUUGGUUGGUAAGGGGUGCUUU